rnacentral:rRNA from 1 species
CCUACGUGUGGCAGCAGUGGGGAAUAUUGGGCAAUGGGCGCAAGCCUGACCCAGCAACGCCGCGUGAAGGAAGAAGGCUUUCGGGUUGUAAACUUCUUUUAAGAGGGAAGAGCAGAAGACGGUACCUCUUGAAUAAGCCACGGCUAACUACGUGCCAGCAGCCGCGGUGAUACGUAGGUGGCAUGCGUUGUCCGGAUUUACUGGGUGUAAAGGGCGUACAGCCGGGAAGACAAGUCAGUUGGUAAAUCCCGGGGCUUAACCGCGGAACUGGAUUUGAAACUGUUAUUCUUGAGUACCAGAGAGGUCAGCGGAAUUCCUUGUGUAGCGGUGAAAUGCGGAGAUAUAAGGAAGAACACCAGUGGCGAAGGCAGAGUACUGGACGGCAACUGACGGUGAGGCGCGAAAGCGUGGGGAGCAAACAGGAUUAGAUACCCCGGUAGUC